CCUACGGGUGGCAGCAGUGGGGAAUAUUGCGCAAUGGGCGAAAGCCUGACGCAGCGACGCCGCGUGAGGGAUGAAUGUCUUCGGAUCGUAAACCUCUGUUAGCAGGGAAGAACGGUCACUGUGCUAAUCAGCAGUGAAUUGACGGUACCUGCAAAGGAAGCACCGGCUAACUCCGUGCCAGCCGCCGCGGUAAUCCGGAGGGUGCGAGAGUUAAUCGGACUUACUGGGCGUACAGCGCUCGUAGGCGGUAUGUCAAGUCAAGGGUGAAAUCCCCGCGCGCAACGUGGGAACUGCCUUUGAAACUGGCAAACUGGAGUGUGUGAGAGGAUAGUGGAAUUCCAGGUGUAGGAGUGAAAUCCGUAGAUAUCUGGAGGAACAUCAGUGGCGAAGGCGACUAUCUGGCACAUAACUGACGCUGAGGAGCGAAAGCGUGGGUAGCAAACAGGAUUAGAUACCCUUGUAGUC
rnacentral:rRNA from 1 species